GCCAGGGGUGGUGGCGUGGGCCUGUAAUCCCAGCUACUCAGGAGGCUGAGGCAGGAGAAUCACUUGAACCCAGGAGGUGGAGGUUGCAGUGAGCCGAGAUCACACCAUUGCACUCCAGCCUGGGCAACAAGAGUGAAACUCAGUCUCAAAAAUAAAUAAAUAAAAUUAAGUCUUAUUUAUUUAUUUAUUUGAGACAGAGUGUUGCUAUGUCGCCCAGGCUCUCAGCUCACUGCAACCUCCGCCUCCGUGGCCCAAGCAAUUAGCCUGCCUCA
rnacentral:sRNA from 1 species